AUUCGGCGAUAAUAAUUCAAGACCUUUAACAAGCGUUUCCAACAAAUCGAACCCCGUCUGAUAAAUUAGGAUUUUACUUGCACAGCAAUCCACGCUCUCCUCUCCAAAACCCUUGAGUCUUCUCUCUCUUAAACCCUAAUCUAAAAUCUCAGUCUCUCUGUUUUCUACAUUGCAAUCAUUCAUGGGUAGCCAAGCGGCAGUUUCGUUCCUGACCAACAUCGCCCGUGCCGCUUUCACUCUCGGGAUCGGCGGCGCAGUUGUCAAUUCCUCCCUUUACACUGUCGACGGCGGCCAACGCGCCGUUCUCUUCGACCGUUUCCGUGGUGUCAUUGACGACACAGUCGGUGAAGGCACUCACUUCUUGAUCCCAUGGCUUCAAAAACCCUUCAUCUUUGAUAUCCGUACAAGGCCACACACUUUCUCCUCAAUCUCCGGGACGAAAGAUCUCCAAAUGGUUAAUCUCUCCCUCCGUAUCCUCUCCCGUCCCGAAGUCUCUCGCCUUCCCGACAUUUUCAAAACCCUAGGUACUGAAUACGACGAAAAGGUUCUUCCUUCUAUUGGAAAUGAGGUGCUUAAAGCUGUUGUGGCUCAAUUUAACGCUGAUCAGCUUCUCACCGAGCGUCCACAGGUCUCUGCACUUGUACGUGAAAGCUUGGUUCGUCGUGCUAAGGAUUUCAACAUUGUGCUUGAUGAUGUGGCGAUUACGCACUUGUCUUAUGGAGCUGAGUUUUCUAAAGCUGUGGAGCAGAAGCAGGUGGCUCAGCAGGAGGCUGAGAGGUCGAAAUUUGUGGUAAUGAAAGCGGAGCAAGAGAGGAGGGCUGCAAUUAUUCGAGCUGAAGGAGAGAGCGAAUCAGCUAAGCUGAUUUCUGAUGCUACCGCGGCUGCUGGAAUGGGGUUGAUUGAGCUUAGGAGGAUUGAAGCUUCUAGAGAAGUUGCUGGGACUUUGGCUAAGACUCCUAAUGUUGCUUACUUGCCAAAGACAGGGAAUAUGCUUCUUGGACUCAAUCGUUGAUUAGUGGUAGCAGACAAAAUUUAAGGCUGGCUUUGUCGGGUUUCAUCUCCAAAACUCAAAUAUUUUAUUCCUAAGCCUUAGAGAGGUGGUUUCUUUAACGGUGGUGCAUUUUCUUGCUUUUCUGGGUAGCUUCGGUGGCUUCUUCUUACCAAUCUGUUUUUCUGCCUCAAAGAUUACAGCUUGAUUCAUCCUGAAAUGUAUGUCAUAUAGGAUCGCAUGACGAAAACCUGGAAUAUUGAGGAUGUUUCUGUUUUGAUUCUUUUCAUGAUUCACGUUACAGUUGUUUAUUUAGACAAUCCAUUGAUGUUUUACUCAGCUUGCUUCGUUUACUAACCUAGUUCAAAUGAUUGUCACGCAACAAUUUUGAAGAAAUCUAAUGCAAUCUCUUGCACUUGAAUCUCCAA